rnacentral:lncRNA from 1 species
CGACAUUUACUGUGAUAGGCAAUGAAAUUGGUGCAAAUAAAUUACGGACCAACAUUGUUUAAUCUCAUUGGACAGAUCGUUAUAACUCAAUAGUACAGCAGGUAAAAUAUCUUUUUCAAAAUCUUCCACCUGCCAAAUUUCACUAUCUAAGAUAUUUUGCCACUCUUCUCUAGUUUUUUUAACCACAACAAACCCCAGAUAGUUUUAGCCGCAAGUGGCAACAUUCUGGUUUAGACAAUUAUUUCUACCAAUUUCUUCUAAUUGUUCGCACUCUAAACGAGAUCGAUUGAGAAAAGCAAAUCGUUUAAAUAGCGACAACAUUCUGGUUUAGACAAUUCUUUAAUGAAGAUAAGAUAGAAUUAUUAAUGCGUUGAUGAAGUGAAUUCAGUUCACCUAAAUUAGGAGUAGAACCUUCUAAAUUUUCGAUGAUGGCUUUCGCAAUUCGAAACUCAUCGAAAGGGUCCGAAACACAAACCCAGAUCCUAACAUUAAAAUUGUUGAUUACAUCUGCAUCGUUGUAAGCCAAUUGAGCAAGAGUUGUCUUUCCGAUACCACCCAUCCCUACGAGAGAGAUGAGUUGGAUGGCAUUUGGUUGUUCAGCAGUUUCACUUAACAACUUGCCCUUCAGAGCAUUUUUCUCCUCAUUUCGACCACACACUUCAGACACAUUAAUUAAGGCAGUACUUUGCGUCCUCUCAGAUUUAUCCUCCUUACUUCUAGUGACACUCAAAUUAAAAGUAUCUUUCUGGCUAGCAAUAUCAUCUAAAGUUUCAUUCAUUUCUUUUAUCUUUUUAGCAAUAUCACAACACAGAAAGAGUUGUUUGAAACCAAAGCAAGAGGCAGCAGGAAAGAAAGAGAUGCAUACCUUCUGCAGGAAAGAAAGAGCAUUAUCAGCAUCAACUCCCUCGAUUUGCAGUUUGAGCCUGGCAGUAUUCCACUCAUCCAAUACAUCUUCAGUGUCGUAGGAUGCGUGUUUGAGCUUGUCUAAAGAAAUUUCAGAAAUAUGUUUUCACUACAACUGUUAGAUGCAUGAAUAAAACAGAGGACGAUACAACAUCAGAUUUGACCACUGAUUGAAUUGCUGUUCAUAUGACUGCAGUUAAAAAAAAAAAAAAACAUCGAUGAAUACCAAAACACAAGUCACUGUCGUUAAUAUUUCUCUUAUUAACGCAGGUGAGAUUACCUUGAUGAAUGGAGGCGGUUGGUGUGUUCACUGGGCUCAAAGUACAUGACUGCUGGAGAUGAUGCUGCUUUUGGAAUGAUAGGUUGGGCUGAGAGUUUCAUGCAAUCAUUGUUUCCCAGGUGGUUGUAGCUAACAGAUAAUUUGGCACCCACCAGCCAAUCAAUUUCAUCACAAUCAGAAACCAUCUUUUUCCAUAAAGUGCUUAUAACGAUCAAAACUAUAUAUAUACCUGAUUCCAGCCCUUACAAGAAAAUAAACCAUAACAGACUUCAUCUUUGUCUUGCCAAUCUUCAAUUCUUCAUCUCUUCUACUGUUGCUCCGAAUGGCGAAAACAAUAAGCGCUGCAAACAAAAACGAAGUUAAACAAAAGAAAGGCACAAUCUUUUGCUUGUCUAAAAAACUUCAACCGAACAACAAAGCAAAGAGCAAGGUUAUCAAAUUUAAGAACCUAAAAUCUCAGCCUCCUUAAUUUUCUCCAAAGAAGCAAGAAGGUUCACCAUUGUACCUUCUCCAUCAUAAGAUCCAACUCUAUUUAAUGAUUCUUUAGUGAGCCAAAAAAUUGGCUUGUUGCACUUUGUCCUUUGUGGCACAGGAGAUUCAUCUGAGAACAAAAAUUAAAUCAAUAAAGUGACUCGCACUUGAUUAAGAUUUAAUCAAAAAAUUUAAUAAGAAACUCUUGAUUGCUAUGAAGCCAACAGUGAGAGUUCACUGUUCCUACGCCACCCCACAGGCAUACUCUAAAAAUAAGCCAAAAAAAAAAAUCCGAAGAAAUUCUGAUUUCCAAAUUGACCGACCAAAGUUAAAAAAUGAAAAGAAUAAGAAUCUACAGAGCCUGCUGUACGGCCAAGGCGGAUGUACGGUACAGCAGUUUUAUUUAGUUUCUAUCCGACAUUUACUGUGAUAGGCAAUGAAAUUGGUGCAAAUAAAUUACGGACCAACAUUGUUUAAUCUCAUUGGACAGAUCGUUAUAACUCAAUAGUACAGCAGGUAAAAUAUCUUUUUCAAAAUCUUCCACCUGCCAAAUUUCACUAUCUAAGAUAUUUUGCCACUCUUCUCUAGUUUUUUUAACCACAACAAACCCCAGAUAGUUUUAGCCGCAAGUGGCAACAUUCUGGUUUAGACAAUUAUUUCUACCAAUUUCUUCUAAUUGUUCGCACUCUAAACGAGAUCGAUUGAGAAAAGCAAAUCGUUUAAAUAGCGACAACAUUCUGGUUUAGACAAUUCUUUAAUGAAGAUAAGAUAGAAUUAUUAAUGCGUUGAUGAAGUGAAUUCAGUUCACCUAAAUUAGGAGUAGAACCUUCUAAAUUUUCGAUGAUGGCUUUCGCAAUUCGAAACUCAUCGAAAGGGUCCGAAACACAAACCCAGAUCCUAACAUUAAAAUUGUUGAUUACAUCUGCAUCGUUGUAAGCCAAUUGAGCAAGAGUUGUCUUUCCGAUACCACCCAUCCCUACGAGAGAGAUGAGUUGGAUGGCAUUUGGUUGUUCAGCAGUCUCACUUAACAACUUGCCCUUCAGAGCAUUUUUCUCCUCAUUUCGACCACACACUUCAGACACAUUAAUUAAGGCAGUACUUUGCGUCCUCUCAGAUUUAUCCUCCUUACUUCUAGUGACACUCAAAUUAAACGUAUCUUUCUGUCGGGAAAUAUUAUCUAAAGUUUCAUUCAUUUCUUUUAUCUUUUUAGCAAUAUCACGACGCAGAAAGAGUUGUUCGAAACCAAAGCAAGAGGCAGCAGGAAAGAAAGAGCUGCAUAACUUCUGCAGGAAAGAAAGAGCAUUAUCAGCAUCAACUCCCUCGUUUUGCAGUUUGCCCCUGGCAGUAUUCCACUCAUCCAACACAUCAUCAAUGUCGUAGGAUGCUUGUUUGAGCUUGUCUAACCAGAGUCUCACGUGUUCCUCCUUCACUUGCCUUCGCUCUGCAUCAGCCAGCACAGCUUGAAUGGCUUCUAAAUUGUCUUGCAGCCUUUUCACUUCUUUUUCGACGCCCGUUACCAGCCUCACCUGUUCUUUUGCCUCUUCAACUGCCGUUGAAUUCAGCUGCUUUAAGACAGCGGACACGAUCGCAUCAACCAUUUUGAAAGUUGGAAGCUUAAAGAUGAGAGAAUGAAAUUUGUGAGUUAUAAUUUCUGGACUUACAUGUAUGCAGGAGAAGACUUAGAUAACAUAUAGGUGAAAAACAAUCGGAGUUGACUCCGAACAAUCGAACUGAUCGCUUGAAUGGGUUCGGUUUGGUUCGGUUUGCUUUCGUUUCAGAUUACGAAAUAAUAAAUUAAAUAAAAAUAAUAGUAAGAUAAAAUUAUUAUGAAAUAAUUAUAGUUAUGUGAAAUGUUCAUUAGAAUAAAUUUUUUAUUUCUCCACUAAAUAAUUUUUUUCUCUUAUAGUUUUUUAUAUUUCUUACAAAUUU